rnacentral:rRNA from 1 species
AUUGAACGCUGGCGGCAUGCUUUACACAUGCAAGUCGAACGGUAACAGGGAGCUUGCUCCGCUGACGAGUGGCGAACGGGUGAGUAAUGCGUCGGAACGUGCCGAGUAGUGGGGGAUAACGCAUCGAAAGGUGUGCUAAUACCGCAUACGUACUGAGGUAGAAAGUGGGGGACCUUCGGUCCUCACGCUAUCCGAGCGGCCGACGUCUGAUUAGCUAGUUGGUGAGGUAAAGGCCCACCAAGGCGACGAUCAGUAGCGGGUCUGAGAGGAUGAUCCGCCACACUGGGACUGAGACACGGCCCAGACUCCUACGGGAGGCAGCAGUGGGGAAUUUUGGACAAUGGGCGCAAGCCUGAUCCAGCCAUGCUGCGUGUCUGAAGAAGGCCUUCGGGUUGUAAAGGACUUUUGUCCGGGAGCAAAUGCCUGGUGUUAAUAGCACUGGGAGCUGAGAGUACCGGAAGAAUAAGCACCGGCUAACUACGUGCCAGCCGCCGCAGUAACAC